rnacentral:rRNA from 1 species
UGAUGACGAGACGCUAAGGCGUUGAAGCAGUGUAUGUCAGACUUCCAAGAAAAGCUCGCAAUGUCACAAAUAAAAAUGCCUGUACCAUAACCGACACAGGUGGGUAGGUAGAGUAUACUAAGGGGCGCGAGAUAACUCUCUCUAAGGAACUCGGCAAAAUGACUCCGUAACUUCGGGAGAAGGAGUGCCUUAUUUAUAAGGUUGCAAUAACAAGAUCCAAGCAACUGUUUAUCAAAAACACAGGUCUCCGCUAAGUCGUAAGACGAUGUAUGGGGGCUGACGCCUGCCCAGUGCCAGAAGGUUAAAGAAGUUGGUUAGUGUAUGCGAAGCUGAUGACUGAAGCCCUGGUGAACGGCGGCCGUAACUAUAACGGUCCUAAGGUAGCGAAAUUCCUUGUCGGGUAAGUUCCGACCCGCACGAAAGGCGUAAUGAUUUGGAUACUGUCUCGGAGAGAGGCUCGGUGAAAUAGACUUGUCUGUGAAGAUGCGGACUACCUGCACCAGGACAGAAAGACCCUAUGAAGCUUUACUGUAACUUGAAAUUGGAAUUGGACUUUGCUUGCGCAGUAUAGGUGGGAAGCGUUGAAAAUAUUCUUGCGGGAGUAUUGGAGCUAUCAGUGAGAUACCACUCUUGUAAUGUUAGAUUUCUAACUUUGAACCAUAAUCUGGUCAAAGAACAGUUUCAGGUGGGCAGUUUGACUGGGGCGGUCGCCUCCCAAAUGGUAACGGAGGCGUACAAAGGUUUCCUCUGAACGGAUAGAAAUCGUAUCUAGAGUGUAAAGGCAUAAGGAAGCUUGACUGUGAGACCUACAAGUCGAGCAGGGACGAAAGUCGGUCUUAGUGAUCUGACGGUACUGAGUGGAAAGGCCGUCACUCAACGGAUAAAAGUUACUCUAGGGAUAACAGGCUGAUCUCCCCCAAGAGUUCACAUCGACGGGGAGGUUUGGCACCUCGAUGUCGGCUCAUCGCAUCCUGGGGCGGUAGUACGUCCCAAGGGUUGGGCUGUUCGCCCAUGAAAGCGGUACGCGAGCUGGGUUCAGAACGUCGUGAGACAGUUCGGUCCAUAUCCGGUGUAGGCGCUAGAAUAUUGAGAGGAGCCUUCUUUAGUACGAGAGGACCGAGAAGGACACACCGCUGGUGUACCAGUUAUCGUGCCAACGGUAAACGCUGGGUAGCUAUGUGUGGAGUGGAUAACCGCUGAAAGCAUCUAAGUGGGAAGCCCACCUCGAGAUGAG